rnacentral:rRNA from 1 species
UACGGGGGGGGCAAGCGUUGCUCGGAAUCACUGGGCGUAAAGGGCGCGUAGGCGGGAUGGCAAGUCGGUCGUGAAAGCCUUCGGCUCAACCGAAGAACGUCGGCCGAUACUGCCGUUCUUGAGGGAUGCAGAGGAGACUGGAAUUCCCGGUGUAGCGGUGAAAUGUGUAGAGAUCGGGAGGAACACCGGUGGCGAAGGCGGGUCUCUGGGCCGAUACUGACGCUGAGGAGCGAAAGCGUGGGGAGCAAACAGG